rnacentral:pre_miRNA from 1 species
UGUUUCACAGCUUAGGUCUAUCCGAAAAAAUCAAAAUCGGAUAGAUCUGGCUUUGUGAAAUAAU